rnacentral:rRNA from 1 species
UACAGAGGUCUCAAGCGUUGUUCGGAUUCAUUGGGCGUAAAGGGAGCGUAGGUGGGUUGGUAAGUCAGUGGUGAAAUCCCCGAGCUUAACUUGGGAACUGCCAUUGAUACUAUCAGUCUUGAAUACUGUGGAGGUUAGCGGAAUAUGUCAUGUAGCGGUGAAAUGCUUAGAUAUGACAUAGAACACCAAUUGCGAAGGCAGCUGGCUACACAAUUAUUGACACUGAGGCUCGAAAGCGUGGGGAUCAAACAGG